rnacentral:rRNA from 1 species
AUGCACAGCCGCCGCCGCGUCCACUCGCCGGCGUCCGGGCCGCUGGACGACGGCGACCUGCUCUCCGAGAUCCUGCUCCGCCUCUCCCCGCAGCUCUCCUCCCUCCCGCGUGCGUCCCUCGUCUGCAAGCACUGGCGCAGCAUCGUCUCUGACCCCGGCUUCUUCCGCCGCUUCCGCCUCCGCCACCGCCGCAACCCUCAUCUCCUCGGUUUCUCCGACAAGUACGAUGAUCUGUCCUUCCUGCCAACUCUGGAUGCCCCCAAUUGCGUCCCUCCCGGGCGCUUCUCCUUGCCGUUCGACGACGUUGAUGAUUAACGCCUUUCCCUUGGGUGCCGCCAUGGCCUCCUGCUCUUCUGGCCUAUGAAGCAUUUCCAGGUCGUGGUCUGGGACCCCGUCACCGGAGACCAGCACCGCAUUGCCGUUCCCCCGGGGUUCGACGGGACACACGGGGCGGUGCUUUGCGCCACCAGAGACAAACACUUCCAGGUGGUCUUGGUGGUGAGACAUUCGGAUGACGAGCAACAUACACGUGCGGUUGCCUGUGUUUACUCGUCAAAGACCGGCUUAUGGGGAGAUCGUAUCUCGACACUGCUUCCAUACCAACCUGAUGUGAGCGGUUCUCCCAACACCAUGCUUUAUGAGCUUGAUGCUGUGCUGGUUGGAGACUCACUUCACUGGAUGCUUUCUGGGAAUUUUGGUGGAAUUCUCAAGUUUGAUUUGGAGAAGCAGAGCCUAGCUGUGAUACGAGUGCCGCUAGUGGAUAUGUAUGGCCAGGGCAACUACUUCCAGGUUAUGAGGGCCGAGGGCGGCGGGCUGGGUUUCCUCUUCAUGUCAGUGUUAGACUACGCUACUCAGUUAUGGAAGAGGAAGACAGAUUGUGAUGGUGUUGCUUCAUGGGAGCUUGGAAGAACUAUUCAACUGGACAAGCUACUUUCUCUGAAGUCGGAGGAUAAAAACCCCAUAGCCCUGUCGAUACUAGGGUUUGCUGAGAAGAAUAAUGCCGUGUUCAUUUGGACAGUUAAUGGCAUCUUCAUGAUCCACCUUGACUCAUUGAAUUCAAGAAGCUUGCCGAAAACCGCAAGAUGUUCUCACUAUCAUCCAUUCGAAAGUGUCUACACUGCAGGAACACGUGUUGACGUUGGACACGGUGGGGCUGAGCUUUUGGUUGAUAUGUAA